UACGGAGGGUGCAAGCGUUGUCCGGAAUCACUGGGCGUAAAGGGCGCGUAGGCGGCUCAUGAAGGCUGUGGUGAAAGUCCGGGGCUCAACCUCGGAUCGGCCGUGGCGACUCGUGGGCUGGAGCACUGUAGAGGCGGGUGGAAUUCCGGGUGUAGCGGUGGAAUGCGUAGAGAUCGGGAAGAACAUCAGUGGCGAAGGCGGUCUGCUGGGCCGUUGCUGACGCUGAGGCGCGACAGCGUGGGGAGCAAACAGG
rnacentral:rRNA from 1 species